rnacentral:rRNA from 1 species
AGAGUUUGAUCCUGGCUCAGAGCGAACGCUGGCGGCAGGCCUAAUACAUGCAAGUCGAGCGCCCCUUCGGGGGAGCGGCGGACGGGUGAGUAACGCGUGGGAACGUGCCCUUUGGUUCGGAACAACACAGGGAAACUUGUGCUAAUACCGAAUGUGCCCUUCGGGGGAAAGAUUUAUCGCCAUUGGAGCGGCCCGCGUUGGAUUAGGUAGUUGGUGAGGUAAAGGCUCACCAAGCCUACGAUCCAUAGCUGGUCUGAGAGGAUGAUCAGCCACACUGGGACUGAGACACGGCCCAGACUCCUACGGGAGGCAGCAGUAGGGAAUCUUGCGCAAUGGGCGAAAGCCUGACGCAGCCAUGCCGCGUGAAUGAUGAAGGUCUUAGGAUUGUAAAAUUCUUUCACCGGGGAAGAUAAUGACGGUACCCGGAGAAGAAGCCCCGGCUAACUUCGUGCCAGCAGCCGCGGUAAUACGAAGGGGGCUAGCGUUGCUCGGAAUUACUGGGCGUAAAGGGCGCGUAGGCGGACAUUUAAGUUAGAGGUGAAAGCCCAGGGCUCAACCCUGGAAUAGCCUUUAAUACUGGAUGUCUUGAGUUCGGGAGAGGUGAGUGGAACUCCGAGUGUAGAGGUGAAAUUCGUAGAUAUUCGGAAGAACACCAGUGGCGAAGGCGACUCACUGGCCCGAUACUGACGCUGAGGCGCGAAAGCGUGGGGAUCAAACAGGAUUAGAUACCCUAGUAGUCC